rnacentral:lncRNA from 1 species
UGCAGUGAGCCAAGAUCACACCACUGAACUCCAGCCUGGGCAACACAGCAAGGAUCUGUCUCAACACAAAACAAAACAAACAAACAAAACCAACAGGUAACAUUCAUCCCACUGUUGCAUAGAAUCACAACGGGCCGGAUAUAUUCCGUCUGAGCUUCCAGAUCCACUGUCCACCCUCUCCCACCCUGCUCUCCGCUAUGUUAGUAUAGGGAGGACAGCUUACACCUGGAGAUAUGCUUUAAGUAAAUAAAAUGGAGUAUCACCUCGCGCAGAAGGUUGCACACUCACGAAAUUCAUUG